UACGUAGGGGGCAAGCGUUGUCCGGAUUUAUUGGGCGUCAAGAGCGUGUAGGCGGCUAGGUAGGUCCGUUGUGAAAACUCGAGGCUCAACCUCGAGACGCCGAUGGAAACCAUCUAGCUAGAGUCCGGAAGAGGAGAGUGGAAUUCCUGGUGUAGCGGUGAAAUGCGCAGAUAUCAGGAAAAACACCCGUGGCUAAGGCGGCUCUCUAGUACGGUACUGACGCUGAGACGCGAAAGCGUGGGGAGCGAACAGG
rnacentral:rRNA from 1 species